rnacentral:rRNA from 1 species
AUUGAACGCUGGCGGCAGGCCUAACGCAUGCAAGUCGUGCGGUAACGCAGGGAGCUUGCUCCUGGGUGACGAGCGGCGGACGGGUGAGUAAUGUCUGGGAAACUGCCUGAUGGAGGGGGAUAACUACUGGAAACGGUAGCUAAUACCGCAUAACGUCGCAAGACCAAAGAGGGGGACCUUCGGGCCUCUUGCCAUCAGAUGUGCCCAGAUGGGAUUAGCUAGUAGGUGGGGUAACGGCUCACCUAGGCGACGAUCCCUAGCUGGUCUGAGAGGAUGACCAGCACAACUGGAACUGAGACACGGUCCAGACUCCGACGGGAGGCAGCAGUGGGGAAUAUUGCACAAUGGGCGCAAGCCUGAUGCAGCCAUGCCGCGUGUAUGAAGAAGGCCUUCGGGUUGUAAAGUACUUUCAGCGGGGAGGAAGGCGAUAAGGUUAAUAACCUUGUCGAUUGACGUUACCCGCAGAAGAAGCACCGGCUAACUCCGUGCCAGCAGCCGCCGUAA